UUGUACAGUACCAUCCCUUGCUAUACCUGCACACGUAUACACACUCACACAUGUGUCAACAUUGUCAGGAUCCAGUUCCAGCUCCUGUUUCAAGGAAAGAGGGGAAUUCUACUAACAAACCCAUUCCCACAAGGAAGAGGCCUGCAAGAAACCCAUACCUGUCAUGGAACUUUCAUUCUAGCCCAACCUAUAUUUUUGGUCUCUAUAAUAUAUUAUGACAUCCCACAUCUUCCUUCAUUUCACAGCUCCCUGAGGCCAGAGCUUGGAAGCUUAGCUGCUAGGAAUGUUAUCAUGACAUGUCUAUUCUGGAGAAAGGAAGGAAAGAAAGAAGUCCCAUAAGAGUGAGCGACCAAAGAUAUAAGAAGGGGAAGAAGAGCUAGCCCUGAUAAAUCCAUCUUUUCCUUUGAGCCUUUGUUGAAUUACCACCUCCUUGGUCCUUCACCUGGUACAAAUCAUGGGCAUCUCUGCUCAGUGAAUGGAGAAAGAUCUGCAUCCUCAACAAUCAGCUCCUGGUAUCUACACGAGCAGCAGGAUGAGCAAAGGUGAAUUUAACAAGAAAAGCAGAGAAUGUCAUAGGAUAAAAAAAAAAUCUACUUCCUUCAAAACAAUAAAAGAAAGAGGAAUCUUCUGUUUCAUUCUUCUGAGAAGAUAAAUGGUGAUGUUUCACCAACAGACUACUAUCCAUCACUAGAAAUUAUUCAUUUUGUCUCUAAAACCUAUCAUGUGCCCUCCUAAUCUGCUCUCAAAUGUUGGAGGAUACUUCAGAGCAGAUCUGAGACUGCAGGAGUUUGCAGAGAUGGAAGAGGAAGCUCUGUCAUGAGUGGAAAUUUAUUGACAUGAUGAAUAUCAACCCUGUGCUAUUUACAUUUUUCAGAAUACCCUAAAAUACAAGUAAAUUGAAUGAAAUAAAGUUAUCACUUGUAUAAGUACUUUUAUUAAGGUCAUUGGGCUAGUGAAGUAUAGAGUUCUUCAAAUGUAUUUAGUGUAGCAAAGCACAAAGUGGGGGAAGUUCCAUUCAACAGAACAAUUGUUCAACACAACAGCUGUGGAACAGAACUGGGCUCCGUGCUGUUUUCAGCAAUAUUUCAUCAGUCCAUGAACAGAUGCACUGAAUUAAAAACAAACACAGAGGAAAAAUAGAAGGAUGGAAAUCACAAGAGGCUUUGGGUUACACUAAUGAGGUAGCUUUAAUAAUAGGUUUAGUGCUGCUACUAAAGUUUGCAAAUCCACAUUAAAUACAGAGGUUGUGAGAAACUCAGAUAUUAUUCAGAAAAUUUCAUCAACCUUAUUUAGCCACAAUAAUUUUGUUACACACAUUUAUCUCCAGAAUUCUAUUCUGCCUUUCUUAAUGAUAACUACUCAGUUUAUACUCUCAUUAUAUUUGCAUUUUUAAGCCGGGUCCCACUGUGUGCCUUCUCUCACUUUACAUUGUUUCUUCUUUCAUUUUUUCUACCUUAUGGAACUACCAAAUAUUUUCCACAACUAUCUAUUUGGAAGCAGCCUCAGAUUAUUUCCUUAAUGUUUGUUUAAGCCAAACUUUUCCACAUUUUAUGAACUGUGUUUACAAGGCUUAAGUAAAUAUAUCUCGGUCUUGCCUUCCAGGAUUAUGUGCAAGCAGUACGUAACAAUCAGCAGAUUCAAUGACUUUUGUAACCUACCCGGCUUUUUCUGGGAUGUGGGUGACCCAAAACUAAAAAUGGAGACUUCUGGGAGAUUUUGAACCACUCAGUUGCACAGGAGCUAAAAGGUUGCAUUGUCACAAAAUCAGCCACAAGGGGAAGAAAAUUCACCAGGAACUAAUUGUCCAAAGCAUUCAUACUGGGAUUCCCUACCCAGUACUUUCUUUCUCUUCCCCCCACCCCCUCUCUCUCUCUGUUUGGCAGCAUGUUUUUUUUUCUCCAUCCUCCCAUUUCACCAAUUUGGGGAAAAAUAAUGGUAGGAGGCACUGAACAUAGUCAUAGAUAAGUAGUUAGGGCUACCAGAUUUCAAGGUCCCAAAACAAGAUAUUUGCAUAUUAAUUUGCAUAUCAAAUUUAAUCACUUAGUCCCAAAAAUUUCUGUUCAUAUCUUAAGUUGGGUUUUGUUAUUUUUUUCAAUCAAGUAUAACUCUUUUAAAAACAAAAACUCUUUAUUCAGUGUAUUUAGCAAAUAAUACAAGCACAUCCCCUAAGUGGCCACCUGAAGUGUUCA